rnacentral:lncRNA from 1 species
ACGAUCCCAUACUCAUCUAGGAAUUUAGCAAAUGGCUCUGGACGUUGUUCACCUGAACCAUCAUAUCGACCAUAGUAUUCACCACCACGGUCAUAUCUAACGGAUUUAAUUCUAUUGCUUAGUUGAUUUUCAACUUCAGCCUUAAAUGAUUUGAACACGUCUAUGGAUUGGGACUUUUCGUGAAUAAGAUAUAGGUANNN